rnacentral:rRNA from 1 species
AGUGAACGCUGGCGGUAGGCCUAACACAUGCAAGUCGAACGGCAGCACAGUAAGAGCUUGCUCUUACGGGUGGCGAGUGGCGGACGGGUGAGGAAUACAUCGGACUCUACUUUUUCGUGGGGGAUAACGUAGGGAAACUUACGAUAAUACCGCAUACGACCUACGGGUGAAAGCAGGGGAUCUUUGGACCUUGCGCGAUUGAAUGCGCCGAUGGCGGAUUAGCUAGUUGGCGGGGUAAAGGCCCACCAAGGCGACGAUCCGUAGCUGGUCUGAGAGGAUGAGCAGCCACACUGGAACUGAGACACGGUCCAGACUCCUACGGGAGGCAGCAGUGGGGAAUAUUGGACAAUGGGCGCAAGCCUGAUCCAGCCAUACCGCGUGGGUGAAGAAGGCCUUCGGGUUGUAAAGCCCUUUUGUUGGGAAAGAAAAGCAGCAGGUUAAUACCCCGCUGUUCUGACGGUACCCAAAGAAUAAGCACCGGCUAACUUCGUG